UCUGGUUGAUCCUGGCCGAGGUCAUUGCUAUUGGGGUCCGAUUUAGCCAUGCUAGUUGUACGGGUUGAGACCCGUGGCGAAAAGCUCCGUAACACGUGGCCAAGCUACCCUGUGGAGGGGGAUACUCUCGGGAAACUGAGGCUAAUACCCCAUAACCGUCCUGGGCUGGAAUGCCGGGAUGGGGAAAGGCUCCGGCGCCACAGGAUGCGGCUGCGGCCGAUUAGGUAGACGGUGGGGUAACGGCCCACCGUGCCGAUAAUCGGUACGGGUUGUGAGAGCAAGAGCCCGGAGACGGACUCUGAGACAAGAGUCCGGGCCCUACGGGGCGCAGCAGGCGCGAAACCUUUACACUGCACGCCAGUGCGAUAAGGGGACCCCAAGUGCGAGGGCAUAUCGUCCUCGCUUUUCUGGACCGUAAGGAGGUCCAGGAAGAAGGGCUGGGCAAGACCGGUGCCAGCCGCCGCGGUAAUACCGGCAGCUCGAGUGAUGACCGAUCUUAUUGGGCCUAAAGCGUCCGUAGCCGGCCGCGGGGGUCCGUCGGGAAAUCCAGCGGCUUAACCGCUGGGCGUCCGGCGGAAACUUCGCGGCUCGGGACAGGGAGACCCGAGGGGUACGUCCGGGGUAGGAGUGAAAUCCCGUAAUCCUGGACGGACCGCCGAUGGCGAAAGCACCUCGGGAGGACUGCUCCGACGGUGAGGGACGAAAGCUGGGGUCUCGAACCGGAUUAGAUACCCGGGUAGUCCCAGCCGUAAACGAUGUCUGUUAGGUGUGUCACCCGCUACGAGCGGGUGAUGUGCCGCAGGGAAGCCGCUAAACAGACCGCCUGGGAAGUACGUCCGCAAGGAUGAAACUUAAAGGAAUUGGCGGGGGAGCACUACAACCGGAGGAGCCUGCGGUUUAAUUGGACUCAACGCCGGUAACCUUACCAGCCCCGACUGUGGUGAUGACGGUCAGGUUGAUGACCUUGCCACGAGUCACAGAGAGGUGGUGCAUGGCCGCCGUCAGCUCGUACCGUGAGGCGUCCUGUUAAGUCAGGCAACGAGCGAGACCCA
rnacentral:rRNA from 1 species